AGAGGAUCAGCGCCGGCGUAUGAUUGCCCUUGCUGCGCAGCGUGCCGAUGAUCGACAGUCCGUCCCGCUUGGGCAGCAUGCGGUCGAUCACGAGCACGUCGUAAUCGCCGGACUCCGCCAGCGCGAGGCCCUCCUCGCCGUCGCCCGCAUGGUCGGCGAUAUGGCCGACCUCGCGAAAUGCCUUCACGAGAUAGUCCGCCGACUCGCGGUCGUCUUCAACGAUGAGCAGUCGCAUCUGUGAUUCGGUCUGGGUCUGAGCAGCGGAGCUUUGUAUCACCAUGGCGCGAUGAUCGUCCUCUUGCAAGGCAGCGAGCGACGUGCCCGCGGCCGCCAGCCCCCUAGUGGUCCGAUUCUAACAUUCGCACC
rnacentral:misc_RNA from 1 species